rnacentral:rRNA from 1 species
GAUGAACGCUAGCUACAGGCUUAACACAUGCAAGUCGGGGGGCAGCGCAGUGUAGCAAUACACGGGCGGCGACCGGCGCACGGGUGCGUAACGCGUAUCCAACCUUCCCGUUACUCUCGGAUAGCCUUCCGAAAGGGAGAUUAAUACGAGAUGGUGUUGAAAUUCCGCAUGUUAUUUCAACUAAAGAUUCAUCGGUAACGGAUGGGGAUGCGUGACAUUAGGUAGAUGGCGGGGUAACGGCCCACCAUGCCGACGAUGUCUAGGGGUUCUGAGGGGAAGGUCCCCCACACUGGAACUGAGACACGGUCCAGACUCCUACGGGAGGCAGCAGUGAGGAAUAUUGGUCAAUGGCCGGAGGGCUGAACCAGCCAAGUAGCGUGAAGGAUGAAGGUUCUAUGGAUUGUAAACUUCUUUUAUACGGGAAUAAAACCACCUACGUGUAGGUGCUUGUAUGUACCGUAUGAAUAAGCAUCGGCUAACUCCGUGCCAGCCGCCGCCGUAACAC